rnacentral:lncRNA from 1 species
AGUUUUCGCUUAAAAUGAUUCAAAAAACUUGUCAUUUUGUACAAUUUAGAUUUUUUUUUAUUUUAUAAGUCGUUUGUUUAUUCGAUGGCCAGUUCCUUUUGGAAUUUUUCUGAUAAUAAAUCGAAAAAUCUCCACUCUUCCUUUUUCGAUGUAUCUUUUUUAGUAAAAUAACUUCCUAAAUUAGGUAUGUGUUCUCUGGUCUACAUUAUGUUAUUUCUUCUUCUUCUUUUAUAUAGGCAGUACUGCCUGUUUUUCUUCAACGGUGCCCUUCAUUCUGCCCCUAAGUUGUCAUUCCAUCUUUUCCUUGGGCGUCCUAUACUUCUCCUGCCUAACGGUGACUUGUCCCUGGCUACUCUUACUACAAGGAUAGUAAGAAUUAUGUUAUUUAAGAGUGUAAAAAACAUACAGUAAUGAUUAAUUAAUAUCAUCAUUAGUGAUUUUAUAACCAUAAUUUCUUCUAGUUUGAUUUAUUUAACUUGACAUUAAAAUGAAGUUAUUUAUUUUUGUUAUUUUUUAUCUGAUUUUGUUUUUUUAUUGUUCCUUGAAGAGGUUUUGCGAGUACGGCCAUCGUAGCCAUUAGGUUAAGUUCUUCUUAUCGACGACAAACAUGCGCAAGAAGUGUAGAUCGAAAUAUUCGCGAUUAGAUUCUUCAGAUAUAGCAAUAAUAACAUCCAAUGCUAAGGGCGCAUGCAACGAAGCUUUUUCUGCCGGAAAGCUUAGCCGAUUUGAGGAACAAUUUUUUCAAAUUUUUAGUUAUAUCAUUUUUUAGUUUAAUUUCAAUUCAAUUCUACUACCAGGUAAAACUUACCAUUUUUUACAAGCCAUAUACGAGUGUUAUAAAGUGUGUUCUUCUUUGAUUUUACUAUUUUUUAUGUUAUAACAUCGUCGGUACUGAAUAUUUUUUACACUCCUAAAUAUCAGUAGGCCUAUAUUGUAGCUGUGGUAUAUUUUCAGUUUGACUAUGCUUUAUUUGUAGUGGGUGUAAAUAUAACAACGUCCAAAUAAUAUAACUUUUAUUAAUUCGAUGCUACUUUUAUAUAUUUUUCAAUAUUAACAUUUGCUUUAAAAAGAAUUAGUUAUUUAAAUUUAAAAGUACAGAAUAAUAUACUAAGGCAAUUCUUCUGUCUAUACCAAUAAAAUCAAAGGCACUAUUAAUUCGACUAUAUCUACAUUUUCCUUUUUUAAAUUGAUUGCUAAAUUUUGUUGUAAUUUUAAAUCUGGCUAAAAUGCAUAAUUUUAAUUUCGUCCAUUUUGUAUAAAUAAUAGGUACUAGUAAUAAAAAAAUUCUAAAAUUUUUAAUUAAUACGUUUGACAAAUUUUUGAUUAUUUGAAGACAUCUAAUGUAGACCUAUUUCCUCGCUAGAUUAGCAAAACUAUACUUCUAUAAACAAAACCCAAAAGGUUUUUUACAUCAAUAAUACAUCUAAAGGCUUGGGUAAUUCAUAAACGAAUGAUUGUUAUAACAUUUAAAAUACAAUGCCUACAUUUUUAAUCCCCAUUUCUUUAACACCAUUAAGGAAAACUACAAAAAUUUUUAAAUGAUACAUAAAUACAAAAGUUUAACAAUUUUAUAACGACAAAGGUUCUGAUUAUUUCGAAGGUAAAAUAAGAUCACAUUAUUUCGACGCCACGCUCCCAAAAAGUUAAUUUCUCUAAGAAUAAUCAAAAAGCCUCAAGGUAUACUCUAUUUUAAUGAUACAGCGAAAGCUUGGAAAAUUCGUAAAAGGUUAAUUAUUGGUUGUGUGAUAUUCUGGUCCAAAGUGAAACAUCCCAAAAACAUUUCAAAUACGACGCAUACAUUUUUUACUUUUCGUUUCUUAUAAUACUAUACAGAAAAAACUACAAAAUAUCUUAAAUGAUACAUUAAUGCAGCAAACAGUUUGGCAACUAUAUAACAUCGAAUGUAUAGAUUAUUUCAACUUACAAUAAGGUAGAAUUAUUUCAAUGGUACAUUUUCCAAAAAGUUACAUCUCUCCUAAAAAAAUCAAAAAGGUCCCAAUGUAAAUUCUUGUUAUUUUAAUAAAACAGCGAAAGCUGGCAAACAUCAUAAAAUAUUGUUAAAUUUGUGCUAUUCUGACAAUUUUAUAACAUCGAAGGUAUAGAUUAUAUCAAAGACAAAAUAAGGUAGAACUAUAUCGAGGCUACGUUUCCAAACUGUGACAAAAAAUCUUAAAUGAUUCAUUACAACAAAGAUUUGACAACUUUAUAGCAUUGAAGGUGCAAUAAGGUAGAAUUAUAUCGACGCUACGUCUUCAAAAAACAACAAAAAAUCUUAAAUGAUACAUUAAUACAAAGGUUUGACUAUAACAUCGAAGGUAAAAAUUAUUUCAAAGGUUCAAGAAGCUAAAAAUUAUUUCUACGCUACGUUUCCAAAAAACUACAAAAAAUCUUAAAUGAUACAUUCUUACAAAGGUUUGCUAAUUUUAUAACGUCAAAGGUAUGGAUUGUUUCAAAGGUACAACAAGGUAGAAUUAUUUCGACGCUACGUUUUCAAAAGACUACAAAAAAUCUUAAAUAAUACAUUAAUACAAAGGUUUGACUAUAACAUCGAAGGUAAAGAUUAUUUCAAAGGUUCAAGAAGGUAGAAUUAUUUCGACGCUACGUUGUCAAAAAACUACAAAAAAUCCUUAAUGAUAAAUUAAUACAAAGGUUUGACAAUUUGAUAACAUCGAACGUAUAUAUAGAUUGUAUCAAGGGUACAAUAAGGUAGAAUUAUUUUGACGUACGUUUCCAAAAAACUACAAAAAAUCUUAAAUAAUACAUUAUUUCGAAGGUACAAUAAGGUAGAAUUAUUUCGACGCUAUGUUUUCAAAAAAAUACAAAAAAUAAUAAAUGGUACCUACAUUAUUACAAAGGUUUGACAAAUUUAUAACAUCGAAGAUAUAGAUUAUUUCAAAGGUUCAAUUUCGACGCUACAUUUCCAAAAAACUACAAAAAAUCUUAAAUGGUACAUUAUUACAAAGGUUUGACAAUUUUAUAACAUUGAAGGUAUAGAUUAUUUUAAUGGUACAAUUUCGACCCUACAUUUCCAAAAAACUAAAAAAAUCUUAAAUGGUACAUUAUUACAAAGGUUUGACAAUUUUAUAACAUUGAAGGUAUAGAUUAUUUUAAUGGUUCAAUUUCGAGGCUACAUUUCCAAAAAACUACAAAAAAUCUUAAAUGGUACAUUAUUACAAAGGUUUGACAAUUUUAUAACAUUGAAGGUAUAGAUUAUUUUAAUGGUUCAAUUUCGAGGCUACAUUUCCAAAAAACUACAAAAAAUCUUAAAUAAUACAUUAUUACAAAGGUUUGAUAAUUUUAUAACAUCGAAGCUAAAAUUAUUUCAAAGGAACAAUCGGGUAGAAUUAUUUCUUAUUUUUUAACACCGAAGGUAUGGAUUAUUUCAAAGGUACAAUAUGUUAGAAUUAUUUCGACGCUAUGUUUUCAAAUAACUACAAAAAUAUUAAAUGGUACCUACAUAUUACAAAGGUUUGACAAAUUUAUAACAUCGAAGAUAUAGAUUAUUUCAAAGGUUCAAUUUCGACGAUACAUUUCCAAAAAACUACAAAAAAUCUUAAAUGGUACAUUAUUACAAAGGUUUGACAAUUUUAUAACAUUGAAGGUAUAGAUUAUUUUAAUGGUUCAAUUUCAACGCUACAUUUCCAAAAAA